AUUGAACGCUGGCGGCAGGCCUAACACAUGCAAGUCGAGCGAGCGGCGGACGGGUGAGUAAUGUCUGGGGACUGCCCGAUAGAGGGGGAUAACUACUGGAAACGGUGGCUAAUACCGCAUACUAUCGGAUAACCCAUAUGGGAUUAGCUAGUAGGUGGGGUAAAGGCUCACCUAGGCGACGAUCUCUAGCUGGUCUGAGAGGAUGAUCAGCAACACUGGGACUGAGAAAGGGCCCAGACUCGAAGGGAGGCAGCAGUGGGGAAUAUUGCACAAUGGGCGCAAGCCGGAUGCAGCCAUGCCGCGUGUAUUAAGAAGGCCGUCGGGUUGUAAAGUACUUUCAGUCGGGAGGCGUUACCGACAGAAGAAGCACCGGCUAACUCCGUGCCAGCAGCCGCGGUAAUUC
rnacentral:rRNA from 1 species